rnacentral:rRNA from 1 species
AGAUUGAACGCUGGCGGCAUGCUUUACACAUGCAAGUCGAACGGCAGCGCGGGGCAACCUGGCGGCGAGUGGCGAACGGGUGAGUAAUAUAUCGGAACGUACCCAAGAGUCGGGGGAUAACGUAGCGAAAGUUACGCUAAUACCGCAUACGAUCUAAGGAUGAAAGCAGGGGACCGCAAGGCCUUGUGCUCCUGGAGCGGCCGAUAUCUGAUUAGCUAGUUGGUAGGGUAAAGGCCUACCAAGGCUACGAUCAGUAGCUGGUCUGAGAGGACGACCAGCCACACUGGAACUGAGACACGGUCCAGACUCCUACGGAGGCAGCAGUGGGGAAUUUUGGACAAUGGGCGCAAGCCUGAUCCAGCAAUGCCGCGUGAGUGAAGAAGGCCUUCGGUUAGUAAAGCUCGUUUUGUCAGGGAAGAAACGGUGGAGACUAAUAUCUCCCGACUAACGACGUACGUAGAAGAAUAAGCACGGCUAA